GACGUAGGGCGCGAGCGUUGUCCGGAUUUAUUGGGCGUAAAGAGCUCGUAGGCGGCUUGUCGCGUCGUCCGUGAAAACCCACAGCUCAACUGUGGGCUUGCGGUCGAUACGGGCAGGCUAGAGUUCGGUAGGGGGAGAAUGGAAUUCCUGGUGUAGCAGUGAAAUGCGUAGAUAUCAGGAGGAAUACCGAUGGCGAAGGCAGGUCUCUGGGCUGACACUGACGCUCAUGCACGAAAGCGUGGGGGAGCAAACAGG
rnacentral:rRNA from 1 species